GGGAAGAUAUGUAAGAUAUUUCUGAUUGUCUUGCGCUCAUCUUGGCCGGGCUCACCUUCUCUGAUGCCCUUCCUGUGCUCACUGGUGCUUCUCCAUCACAGCCUUCUCUGUCUUCAAGCCCCGCCAUGUACAUGGAGUGAACAUCCCAAUGGGAAGAUCACAGGUGGAGAAACAACAUGCCACUGGAGCUCCCAAGGUCAUGGAAGGCACUGGACAUGUCCCAGGGUACAUUAGGAUCCAACAGGAUGUACCCUCACCUCUUCACAGAUGUUAGCCAGGAUUGUCAUUACGGAG
rnacentral:lncRNA from 1 species